rnacentral:lncRNA from 1 species
UUGAACUUCUACUCUGUAGAUCUCAUCAGAUGAAGGAUAAAUAAACGUGUCUCUCAAAGCCAUCUUUAUUCGAAGAAGUUUCCUUCGCACUACAAAUCUAAAGUUCUUUCUACGAACAUCUUGUAUGAAUUGAUACCUGAUUAAGCGCAUCUAACUACGUAUUUGUAUAUGUGUCUCAUUGCCUCAUAAAAAUCCAGAAGUCUUUAAAUGUGAUUCAAAACCAACAAAAAAUCAAAUAAACAUUUAAAUAAAUUAGUGAGAAAAUGUGAUGUAGCAAGUAAUAAAGAGUAAAAUGUGAACUGCCUAUCUAAAACAGGAUAAAACUGAAAAUGUAUUUAAGAAAAUAAUAUUUUAACAGCUUUUAAGGGAUAGAAAUUUUCUGCUAACUAGAGAUACUUAUAAAUUUAUUUAUUUGUACUCCUAUGAUCCAUAAAACUGAAAUCUGCAUUCCUUAAGCUAAAAAGAGACAAUAGGGCAUUAAAAUGCUAUGACUGUGCACUUUUGAUGUCUUAUGACUUCAUUAGAACAUACUAAUUCUAACAGGUCAUUAAUUUAUAUUUAUUUCUCUUAUUUAUACAUCAUUGAUUUCACUUGUCAAGAUCAAAUUCAUUGAUAAAAAUCUUUGCAGAAUGGCUGGGAACUUCCUAAGAAAUAAAACCUGAAGUUCAUCCUAUAGUUCUAACACAAUGCAUAUAAAGGAGAGACUGUACCUAAAUGUUUAAAUAUCUUAUCCCAGGAACAAAAUAUCAGGAAGCAGUUUUUCUUGAUCUACUGAAACAACAGACCAACUAUAUUAUCCUUUUUUACAGAGAGACCACAUUUUAUUCUGCCCAAAUAUCUACGGAACAGUCCACAGGAACAAUAACCUCAGUUGGGAUUUAUGAUUUCUUUUCUUUUUUGUUUUCUUUUUUUGAGACAGGGUCUCCCUCUGUUGCCCAGGCUAGUGUGCAGUGGUGUGAUCUUGGCUAACUGCUGCCUCUGCCUCCUGGGUUCAAGUGAUUCUCCUGCCUCAGCCUCCCGAGUAGCUGGGAUUACAGGCACACGUCACCAGCCUGACUAAUUUUUGUAGAGACUAGGGGGUUUUGCCAUGUUGCCUAGGUGGUCUCAAACUCCUGGACUCAAGUGAUCUGCCUGUCUCAGCCUCCCAAAGUUCUGGGAUUACAGGUAUGAGCCACCAUGCCGAGCCAGGAUGAUCUAUUUUCUUAUUACAUUUAUUUUCUGACUUUUUUCAUGGUACAAUAUAAACUUUCAAUUCCACUAAAUGAAUAAUAACCUCCCAACUAUUUUUAGGAAAAACAAUUUGCUGAAAAUAUUAAGCAAAAGUGAUUUUCAUUGGAUAAUUGUUUUUCUGUGUGUUUAGUAAUCUUCAGUGUUGUUAUUUCAUUGAGUAUUUAAAAGACACUAGGAAAAUCAAUUGAUGAUGUGGCUUAUUCAGGAAGAAAAAUCAUAGCAUGUUCCUAAAGCCUGUAUUAUGAGUUAAUUUAUACGCUACAGUAAAAUGUUGUAACUGACAGUAUUUACAACUGUUAGUAGUAGAAUCUAAGGAGACAGAAGGCAACAACUAGCCAGUCUUCCCUGUGAAGUCAAAAUUCCAUUCUCUUCCCUGGGGAAGAGGCAGAGUCAAAUAAUGGAGGUGCUCAAUUUCUUACUCUCUGGGGUUACUUAAUUUCUCAGCCUCGCAGCCAACAGAGUGCAAUCAAGUCUCUACAAGAACAACUGAUGCGGCUGAGCGCGGUGGCUCACACCUGUAAUCCCAGCAGUUUGGGAGGCCGAGGCAGGUGGAUCAUGAGGUCAGGAGAUCAAGGCCAUCCUGGCUAACAUGGUGAAACCCCAUCUCUACUAAAAAUACAAAAAAAUUAGCUGGGUGUGGUGGCGGGUCCCACACCGAGUAGCCUG